GAUGAUGAUGAUGAUGAUGAUGAUGAUGAUGAUGAUGGUGAUGAUGAUAUCCAUUCAGUUGCAUCUGAUUCUUGGUGACUCUGUGGGCCAGGUGGUCUCCACAUCUUCCGAUCUUGCCCUACUUCCUUGAGUCGUUCUGUGCUCUGGCCGGGGUCAGUUUUGAUGGUGUCCAGCCACCAUGUUCUUUGGUGACCUGGUUUCCUUUGACCACAAACUCUUCCCAACUUUAUUGCUUUCUCCAGUGAAUUUCCCUACAAGACACAGCCAACAUAAGUGAGAUGCAGUUUCAUGAUUUUGCCUUCCAGUGACAGGUCCAGAUUUCCCAACCAUGGAUAGCUCUGGGCAACACAAUAGAGAUCUUCGCAUUGUGACUUCUGUUGAUACAUCACAAGAUUGCAUUGGCGUUGGCAAUUGCUGCACGUUGUUGGCUCAUACUUAAUUAAUGGUCUACCAAAACACUCAGAUCCUUCUUACUAAUACUACUGAUGAGUCAGGAAUGUAGGAUAUGAACCUCAAGACCUCCUUCCACUAAGACCGUGAUGGCGCGCGGAGCCAUAUUGGUGGGCAUUCAAGCCGGGGGAGUGUCCCAAGAUCAAAAUCCCUCCGGACUAUUUUUGUUUCCAAGACUGUGUCUGGGACUCCGACUGCGACGGGAA